AAACUGCCUGAUGGAGGGGGAUAACUACUGGAAACGGUAGCUAAUACCGCAUAACGUCGCAAGACCAAAGAGGGGGACCUUCGGGCCUCUUGCCAUCAGAUGUGCCCAGAUGGGAUUAGCUAGUAGGUGGGGUAACGGCUCACCUAGGCGACGAUCCCUAGCUGGUCUGAGAGGAUGACCAGCCACACUGGAACUGAGACACGGUCCAGACUCCUACGGGAGGCAGCAGUGGGGAAUAUUGCACAAUGGGCGCAAGCCUGAUGCAGCCAUGCCGCGUGUAUGAAGAAGGCCUUCGGGUUGUAAAGUACUUUCAGCGGGGAGGAAGGCGAUAAGGUUAAUAACCUUGUCGAUUGACGUUACCCGCAGAAGAAGCACCGGCUAACUCCGUGCCAGCAGCCGCGGUAAUACGGAGGGUGCAAGCGUUAAUCGGAAUUACUGGGCGUAAAGCGCACGCAGGCGGUCUGUCAAGUCGGAUGUGAAAUCCCCGGGCUCAACCUGGGAACUGCAUUCGAAACUGGCAGGCUAGAGUCUUGUAGAGGGGGGUAGAAUUCCAGGUGUAGCGGUGAAAUGCGUAGAGAUCUGGAGGAAUACCGGUGGCGAAGGCGGCCCCCUGGACAAAGACUGACGCUCAGGUGCGAAAGCGUGGGGAGCAAACAGGAUUAGAUACCCUGGUAGUCCACGCCGUAAACGAUGUCGACUUGGAGGUUGUGCCCUUGAGGCGUGGCUUCCGGAGCUAACGCGUUAAGUCGACCGCCUGGGGAGUACGGCCGCAAGGUUAAAACUCAAAUGAAUUGACGGGGGCCCGCACAAGCGGUGGAGCAUGUGGUUUAAUUCGAUGCAACGCGAAGAACCUUACCUACUCUUGACAUCCAGAGAACUUUCCAGAGAUGGAUUGGUGCCUUCGGGAACUCUGAGACAGGUGCUGCAUGGCUGUCGUCAGCUCGUGUUGUGAAAUGUUGGGUUAAGUCCCGCAACGAGCGCAACCCUUAUCCUUUGUUGCCAGCGGUUAGGCCGGGAACUCAAAGGAGACUGCCAGUGAUAAACUG
rnacentral:rRNA from 1 species